GCACUGCUGAGGAAGUCCCACAAUAGGACGAAACGGCCGUCCAGUGC
rfam:Schistosoma haematobium scaffold78_6, whole genome shotgun sequence.